rnacentral:misc_RNA from 1 species
GUGAAUCAUCGAAUUUUUGAACGCAAAUUGCACUCUCCUCGGAGAGUAUGUCUGUUUGAGGGUCGGUUUAUAAAAAAUAGACAUUGUUGAUGUUUCGUGGUUGCGUUUGCCGGAAAUGGGGGCAUCUUAUAUCGUUUUGAUUUAAGCGACUUAAAAUUUUUUUUUGGUUAUAUGAACGUUUAUAAGAUAUAUUUCUUUACAGGUUUAAGGUUUU